rnacentral:rRNA from 1 species
UACGUAGGGGGGCUAGCGUUGUCCGGAUUUAUUGGGCGUAAAGAGCGUGUAGGCGGCCAAACGAGGUCCGCUUGUGAAAAACUGGAGGCUCAACCUCCAGACGUCGGCGGAAACCGUGUGCUAGAGUCCGGAAGAGGAGAGUGGAAUUCCUGGUGUAGCGGUGAAAUGGCGCAGAUAUCAGGAAGAACACCAAUGGCGAAGGCAGCUCUCUGGGACGGUACUGACGCUGAGACGCGAAAGCGUGGGGAGCGAACAGG